UGGUCAUUUGGCAGCCUUAUCUAUCUUCUUGCUGAAACGAAAACUGCAGAAAACAAAGCAAAGCAUGAAAACAUGAAGUCUCUCACAGUCACAGCCAGUGUUUUGAACCCCACAAAUCAAACACCAAUCAACAAACUCCACUUCUUCCACUCUCACUCUCUCUCAUUCUCAUUCUUCUUCCCACACACAUCAUCAAACCUGAAAUGCCACCAUCAAAAGCGAAUCAUCACAGCAUGCUCUUCUUCUUCUUCUUCUUCUUCGAUCGAAAUCGACAUGGUGAAGAACAACCAAGGAAUCUACACCCCUAAGCACCCCAAAGUAGUCGUCCUCUGGGACCUCGACAACAAGCCCCCACGAGGACCCCCAUACGACGCCGCACGCUCCCUCACGCGCCUCGCAACUCACCUCGGCCACGUCGUCGACAUCUCCGCCUACGCCAAUCGCCACACAUUCAUCCACCUCCCGCAGUGGGUCCUACAGGAUCGCCGCCAGAGAAAGCACCUCGACGUGCUGGAACGGAAGGGACUGGUGGUGCCGUCGGAGCCCUACAGGUGUUCCGUCUGCGGGAGAAAGUGUCGCACCAAUCUGGAUCUGAAGAAGCAUUUCAGGCAGUUGCAUGAACGAGAGAGGCAGAAGAAGCUUAAUCGGAUGAGGUCCUUGAAAGGGAAGAAACGGCAGCGUUUUAAAGAGAGGUUUAUUCAGGGGAAUGAAAAGUAUAAUGAGGCUGCUAGGUCUCUCAUCAGGCCCAAGAUUGGUUAUGGGCUAGCUUCAGAGCUGAGGAGGGCUGGGGUAUAUGUGAAGACUGUGGAGGAUAAGCCUCAGGCUGCAGAUUGGGCAUUGAAGAGGCAGAUGCAGCACUCAAUAACCAGGGGGAUUGAUUGGCUGGUUUUGGUCUCAGAUGAUUCGGAUUUCGCAGAGAUGUUGAGGAGAGCAAAAGAGAGGGAUUUGGGGACAGUGGUGGUUGGGGAUUGGGAUAGGGCACUGGGGAGGCACGCCGAUUUGUGGUUUCCCUGGAUUGAUGUUGAGAAUGGGAAUGUCUCGGAGAAGGAUCUGGUGAUCGAGAAGAACAGGAGUAGGGCUCGAAGUGACGGUUUUGUCGUGGAAGAAGAUGAUGAUGGGUUUUUUUCAUUGUCGAGGUUUGACAGUGGUGGUGGUCAUGGGAGUAGUGAUUUGGAUGAGCUUGUAGAUGAACUUGCAGCAGUGAGGACUGAUUUUACUGCGGCAAUUUCAGAUGAGGAUGAAGACGAUUAUAUGUUGGGGAGUAGUGAGGAUGAGUACAUAGAAGAUUACGAUGAAGACAGUGAUCAAGAAGAUGAUGGGUUCUAUUGACAUGGCAGCUAUGAACCUAUGAUUGAUUCUUUUCUAUGAGCAAUUCUUAUUAUAGCGCCUUGGAAUCUCAAGUGUCGCUGUAUAUAUUCUAGUGGAAAGCUAAAAUGUGGACCGAAAAAAAAAAAACAAAUUGUCACUUUUUUGGACCUUAAGGUACCAAAAAGUGGUGGGAAUGAUCUAUCUUUGGAGGAUUGAAAUGAAGUACCACGAUUUUUUCAAACAGGGAUAUGUUGGUUUCAGAGUCAAUUUUUUUAUUGGAGAAGGAAUGGGAAUAACCAAUUGAAUGGAGGAUAAUGUUAUGUGGCAACUUGGACUCAUGGUUUACAUUGCAUUGCAUCGAUACACGGAUAGCCGACCGAGUAUGGUUCCUCCUGCUAUAAAAAUGAGGUCUUUGUUUUAACAAUGCUGCCUGCAAUUCUUUUUUCUUCAGCAUUCUGCUAUAGGUAGUGCUGGUUCAAGAUUCAAGCUUUUGAACGGUUCUGUCUGUAAAGUUGUGUGGGGGACAAAACUGAAAUGCAUGAUUUUCAACUUAUCCUAGACCACAGUCAAAUCAAAAUUUGAGUUAUAGCCAAGUAUCUUCUUAUCUUACACCAAAAAUAUUAUUAUUAUUCAUGAGGUUCCGGAUUAGUAUUUGGUUUACAAGUUAUUGUGGGGUUCACUUUUGAUGUUUACAUUCAGAAAUAGGUGCAGGUAUCAUUUAUCUUUUUCUAGCUAGAUCAAUGAAUUUGUGUCAAUAAUAUUAAACACGUCUAAUGAAAAAGAAGACAACAAAUGGCAACACAUAGGACCAAGAGUUUGAGCCUGUGAACAAGCACUUUUCAUUCUUGUGAACAAAUGAGUGCUUGUGAAGGGAUUUUAAAGUUUUUCACCUUCAUUAUGUGGUAUGGUUCAAGGGUUUUGGUAUUUUAGGGGUUCACUAAAUUGGAAUGCAGGGCAUGAUAUUGGAAUUAAGUCAAAUUAAUUUAGUUUUUAGUAGUAGAAUUUCUUUUUUGUGUAUUUUUAGCAGAGAUAGCUUUUAUUGACAAACAGGUGGAAAUUUUUUCCUUUUUAAAGAAACAAAAAAGGGUUUUGGUAGUGGCUAAGGAUUGAAAAAUUAGGUAUG